rnacentral:rRNA from 1 species
UACAGAGGUGGCAAGCGUUGUUCGGAAUUACUGGGCGUAAAGCGUACGUAGGCGGCUUUGUAAGUUAGAGGUGAAAGCCCGGGGCUCAACUCCGGAAUUGCCUUUAAGACUGCAUCGCUAGAAUCAUGGAGAGGUGAGUGGAAUUCCGAGUGUAGAGGUGAAAUUCGUAGAUAUUCGGAGGAACACCAGAAGCGAAGGCGGCUCACUGGCCCGAUACUGACGCUGAGGCGCGAAAGCGUGGGGAGCAAACAGG